rnacentral:hammerhead_ribozyme from 1 species
GUACUGCUUACGAGUCCUAAAAUAGGACGAAACGGCCGUCCAAUGC